rnacentral:rRNA from 1 species
GACGAACGCUGGCGGCGUGCUUAACACAUGCAAGUCGAACGGAAAGGCCCUGCUUUUGUGGGGUGCUCGAGUGGCGAACGGGUGAGUAACACGUGGGUAACCUGCCCUUGACUUUGGGAUAACUUCAGGAAACUGGGGCUAAUACCGGAUAGGAGCUCCUGCUGCAUGGUGGGGGUUGGAAAGUUUCGGCGGUUGGGGAUGGACUCGCGGCUUAUCAGCUUGUUGGUGGGGUAGUGGCUUACCAAGGCUUUGACGGGUAGCCGGCCUGAGAGGGUGACCGGCCACAUUGGGACUGAGAUACGGCCCAGACUCCUACGGGAGGCAGCAGUGGGGAAUAUUGCACAAUGGGCGGAAGCCUGAUGCAGCAGCGCCGCGUGCGGGAUGACGGCCUUCGGGUUGUAAACCGCUUUCGCCUGUGACGAAGCGUGAGUGACGGUAAUGGGUAAAGAAGCACCGGCUAACUACGUG